rnacentral:rRNA from 1 species
GGCCAGACUCCUACGCGAGGCAGCAGUGGGGGAUAUUGCACAAUGGGGGGAACCCUGAUGCAGCGACGCCGCGUGGGUGAAGAAGCGCCUCGGCGCGUAAAGCCCUGUCAGCAGGGAAGAAAAUGACGGUACCUGAAGAAGAGGCCCCGGCUAACUACGUGCCAGCAGCCGCGGUAAUACGUAGGGGGCAAGCGUUAUCCGGAUUUACUGGGUGUAAAGGGAGCGUAGACGGUUAUGUAAGUCUGGAGUGAAAGCCCGGGGCCCAACCCCGGGACUGCUUUGGAAACUGUGUAACUAGAGUACAGGAGGGGCAGGCGGAAUUCCUGGUGUAGCGGUGAAAUGCGUAGAUAUCAGGAGGAACACCGGCGGCGAAGGCGGCCUGCUGGACUGAAACUGACGUUGAGGCUCGAAAGCGUGGGGAGCAAACAGGAUUAGAUACCCGAGUA